UACGGAGGAUCCGAGCGUUAUCCGGAUUUAUUGGGUUUAAAGGGUGCGCAGGCGGAAGAUUAAGUCGGUGGUGAAAUUUUGCAGCUCAACUGUAAAAGUGCCAUUGAUACUGGUUUUCUUGAGUGUGGAUGAAGUAGGCGGAAUUUGUGGUGUAGCGGUGAAAUGCUUAGAUAUCACGAGGAACUCCGAUUGCGCAGGCAGCUUACUAAACCACUACUGACGCUCAGGCACGAAGGCGUGGGGAUCAAACAGGAUUAGAUACCCGUGUA
rnacentral:rRNA from 1 species